rnacentral:rRNA from 1 species
GAUGAACGCUGGCGGCGUGCCUAAUACAUGCAAGUCGAGCGAACGGACGAGAAGCUUGCUUCUCUGAUGUUAGCGGCGGACGGGUGAGUAACACGUGGAUAACCUACCUAUAAGACUGGGAUAACUUCGGGAAACCGGAGCUAAUACCGGAUAAUAUUUUGAACCGCAUGGUUCAAAAGUGAAAGACGGUCUUGCUGUCACUUAUAGAUGGAUCCGCGCUGCAUUAGCUAGUUGGUAAGGUAACGGCUUACCAAGGCAACGAUGCAUAGCCGACCUGAGAGGGUGAUCGGCCACACUGGAACUGAGACACGGUCCAGACUCCUACGGGAGGCAGCAGUAGGGAAUCUUCCGCAAUGGGCGAAAGCCUGACGGAGCAACGCCGCGUGAGUGAUGAAGGUCUUCGGAUCGUAAAACUCUGUUAUUAGGGAAGAACAUAUGUGUAAGUAACUGUGCACAUCUUGACGGUACCUAAUCAGAAAGCCACGGCUAACUACGUGCCAGCAGCCGCGGUAAUACGUAGGUGGCAAGCGUUAUCCGGAAUUAUUGGGCGUAAAGCGCGCGUAGGCGGUUUUUUAGGUCUGAUGUGAAAGCCCACGGCUCAACCGUGGAGGGUCAUUGGAAACUGGAAAACUUGAGUGCAGAAGAGGAAAGUGGAAUUCCAUGUGUAGCGGUGAAAUGCGCAGAGAUAUGGAGGAACACCAGUGGCGAAGGCGACUUUCUGGUCUGUAACUGACGCUGAUGUGCGAAAGCGUGGGGAUCAAACAGGAUUAGAUACCCUGGUAGUCCACGCCGUAAACGAUGAGUGCUAAGUGUUAGGGGGUUUCCGCCCCCUAGUGCUGCAGCUAACGCAUUAAGCACUCCGCCUGGGGAGUACGACCGCAAGGUUGAAACUCAAAGGAAUUGACGGGGACCCGCACAAGCGGUGGAGCAUGUGGUUUAAUUCGAAGCAACGCGAAGAACCUUACCAAAUCUUGACAUCCUUUGACAACUCUAGAGAUAGAGCCUUCCCCUUCGGGGGACAAAGUGACAGGUGGUGCAUGGUUGUCGUCAGCUCGUGUCGUGAGAUGUUGGGUUAAGUCCCGCAACGAGCGCAACCCUUAAGCUUAGUUGCCAUCAUUAAGUUGGGCACUCCAAGUUGACUGCCGGUGACAAACCGGAGGAAGGUGGGGAUGACGUCAAAUCAUCAUGCCCCUUAUGAUUUGGGCUACACACGUGCUACAAUGGACAAUACAAAGGGCAGCGAAACCGCGAGGUCAAGCAAAUCCCAUAAAGUUGUUCUCAGUUCGGAUUGUAGUCUGCAACUCGACUACAUGAAGCUGGAAUCGCUAGUAAUCGUAGAUCAGCAUGCUACGGUGAAUACGUUCCCGGGUCU